rnacentral:rRNA from 1 species
AGUUUGAUCCUGGCUCAGGAUGAACCUUGGCGGCAUGCCUAAUACAUGCAAGUCGAACGAGAGACCUUCGGGUCUCUAGUGGCGAACGGGUGAGUAACACGUAGGGAACCUGCCCGUGCACCGGGAAUACGCUCUGGAAACGGAGAACAAAUCCCGAUGUACAGGAAGGAGGCAUCUUCUUUCUGUGAAACAUCCUUUAGAGGAUGGGGCGCGGAUGGACCUGCGGUGCAUUAGUUGGUUGGCGGGGUAAAGGCCCACCAAGACGAUGAUGCAUAGCCGGCCUGAGAGGGCGGACGGCCACAUUGGGACUGAGACACGGCCCAGACUCCUGCGGGAGGCAGCAGUAGGGAAUUUUCGUCAAUGGGCGCAAGCCUGAACGAGCGAUGCCGCGUGAGUGAAGAAGGCCUUCGGGUCGUAAAGCUCUGUUGCGGGGGAAAAAAGGCAGCGUCAGGAAAUGGGUGCUGACUGAUGGUGCCCCGCCAGAAGGUCACGGCUAACUACGUGCCAGCAGCCGCGGUAAUACGUAGGUGGCGAGCGUUAUCCGGAAUGAUUGGGCGUAAAGGGUGCGUAGGCGGUCCUGCAAGUCUGGAGUGAAACGCAUGAGCUCAACUCAUGCAUGGCUUUGGAAACUGGAGGACUGGAGAGCAGGAGAGGGCGGUGGAACUCCAUGUGUAGCGGUAAAAUGCGUAGAUAUAUGGAAGAACACCAGUGGCGAAGGCGGCCGCCUGGCCUGUUGCUGACGCUGAGGCACGAAAGCGUGGGGAGCAAAUAGAAGUAGAUACCCUAGUAGUCCACGCCGUAAACGAUGAAUACCAGGUGUCGGGCGCCACGGGCGCCCGGUGCCGCAGCAAACGCAGUAAGUAUUCCACCUGGGGAGUACGUUCGCAAGAAUGAAACUCAAAGGAAUUGACGGGGACCCGCACAAGCGGUGGAGCAUGUGGUUUAAUUCGAAGCAACGCGAAGAACCUUACCAGGCCUUGACAUCCCCCUGGACGGCCCGUAACGGGGCCGGCCCUUUCAGGGCAGGGGAGACAGGUGGUGCAUGGUUGUCGUCAGCUCGUGUCGUGAGAUGUUGGGUUAAGUCCCGCAACGAGCGCAACCCCUGCCCGCAGUAGCCAGCACGUUGAGGUGGGCACUCUGCGGGGACUGCCGGGGACAACCCGGAGGAAGGCGGGGACGACGUCAAAUCAUCAUGCCCCUUAUGGCCUGGGCGACACACGUGCUACAAUGGCGCCGACAGAGGGAUGCGAAGCGGCGACGCGGAGCGAACCCCAAAAACGGCGCCCCAGUUCGGAUUGUAGUCUGCAACCCGACUACAUGAAGCCGGAAUCGCUAGUAAUCGCGGAUCAGAACGCCGCGGUGAAUACGUUCCCGGGUCUUGUACACACCGCCCGUCA